CGGCGGAGCCGGCGCUGCGAAUGGACUGAUGGCCGCUGAGGCUGCUCCUGGCGCGGUUCAUCAUCGGCCGCCGCACUUUCGCGACUGAGACGAAACGACACUCACCUUUACUUAAUGGAAGGCUUCGCUUACAUCCUGAACUUAAAGGAACUACAGAAAGGGACAGAAACUGCUUUCUUUUUAAACAAUGCGCUGAAAGGUUACUAGUGAUAGGAGGCUUAGUGAAGCGCGUGAUGUGAACGGCCACGCUGCAAGGCUGGAGAGAAAAGAGGAGGGAGUGAAGUUGCACCCUGAUCGCGAAUCCUCGGCCUUUUAUCAGGGGCGCCGCCACUCGGGGUCCGACCAUUCGCCUCCAACGAGGGGACAGCGAAUCUGCUGUCGUGUGCAGUCCACAGCAACCACAGGUGGGGCAACAGGAGGAGCGCUUGGGCACGACCACGUGACCCAGCACGAGCCACCGCCCGCCCCAAAAUGAAAUCAAAUCCUAAUCUCCCAAUCCCGGCAUGCCGGUCACUCCAGCCUUUCCAGGAGACUUGCGGCCGUGCAGCCCCUACACCUUUAUCUGGACUCCUGUCGUACUUGGCCCAGCUCCACUGGAUUCAGCCCUUGGAUAACCACCCUACCAGCCCCUAAAGAUGACUCCAUCCCCGUCGGUAUAUGAAAUAAUGUCACUACAUCGGAGCAGCGCCUCUGCUUGCACACCUAUGGGAGUCUGCAGCUGUGACACGUAGAAGUUGGCCACAUCCAGGUCGGUGGCUCCAAAGUGGGCGGCCACACGCACACCCUCGUGCAACGUGAAGCUCACCUGAUGACCCACCAUGGCCAGCAGGCUGCGGAGGUAACGCUCCCGAAGGGCGGCUCGUGCCCGCUGCUCCUGGGAUUCCAGGGAUUCUUGAGCUAUGGGACACUCCUGGAUUUCAGGAACCUCUGGCCUCAAGGGGGCUCUGCGUCCAUCAGGGGCAAAGCCACGGCUGAAGCCAUCAGGGCCCCGGGGCAGCCGGAGCACAGGCACGGGAAUGUUCACUGGAGUUUGCAUUGUCUUGGCUGUUGAGUGAAGAAAAAGAGCAGGAAGUCAUUACAUGGUAAGCAUGGGGCUAAUGGAGGAGGGAGGAGUGGAAGCAGAGGCUGGUCUACCAGGCAGCUCCACUGCACCUGCCCCAGACUGAUCCACCCUCCUAAAAUCUGUGCCAUCGUCCCCCAAUGGCUUGGAUCAGAAACAAAAGUGUCACAUGCACAAAAACAUGAGCCCCGUGAAGGCAAGGACCUUUGUCUGCUUUUAUAAUGUUUUUAUCU
rnacentral:lncRNA from 10 species